rnacentral:rRNA from 1 species
GUUGAACGCUGGCGGCGUGCCUAAUACAUGCAAGUCGAGCGAACAAACGAGGCUCUUUCUCCUCUGACGUUAGCGGCGGGCGGGUGAUUCACACGUGUCUGACCUACCUCUAGGGCUGACAUAAGUUCGGGAACCCGGAUCUAAUACCCGACAAUAUAUUGAACCUCGUGGUUCAUUAGUUAAAGACGGUUCUGCUGUCACUUAGAGAUGUUUCCUCGCCGCAUGAGCUAGUUGGUAAGGUAACGACUUACCAAGGCAACGAUGCGUAGCCGACCUGAGAGGAUGAUCGGCCACACUGGAACUGAGACACGGUCCAGACUCCUACGGGAGGCAGCAGUAGGGAAUAUUCGGCAAUGGGCGAAAGCCUGACGCAGCAACGCCGCGUGAGUGAAGAAGGUCUUCGGAUCGUAAAACUCUGUUAUUAGGGAAGAACAAAUGUGUAAGUAAAUAUGGACGUCUUGACGGUACCAACACAGAAAGCCCCGGCUAACUACGUG